rfam:Alteromonas naphthalenivorans strain SN2, complete genome.
UCGUCUAUUUGUUGUGGGCAUAUAAAAUGAAUGUGCGCGUCUAUACCACCGGCCGUAACUAUCUGCCCUUCGCCUGCAAUGAUUUCUGUGCCGGGUCCAAUUUCAAUAUCAAUAUUGUCUUGAACAUCUGGGUUACCAGCUUUACCAAUAAUAGCGAUACGGCCAUCUUUGAUACCAAUAUCGGCUUUAAUAAUUCCCCAAUGGUCGAGAAUAACCACGUUCGUGAUUACAAGGUCUGGCGUAUCAAAACAGCUUGCUUGGCUUUGCCCCAUACCGUCCCGA